rnacentral:rRNA from 1 species
GACGAACCGUGCGAACGUUGUUCGGAAUCACUGGGCUUAAAGGGCGCGUAGGCGGGCAAGCAAGUCCGGGGUGAAAUCUUUCGGCUCAACCGGAAAAGUGCCUUGGAUACUGCUUGUCUCGAGGGAGGUAGGGGUUGCUGGAACUUCCGGUGGAGCGGUGAAAUGCGUAGAGAUCGGAAAGAACACCAACGGCGAAAGCACUCUGCUGGGCCGACACUGACACUGAGAGACGAAAGCUAGGGGAGCGAAUGGG